rnacentral:SRP_RNA from 1 species
GCUUGGCACAGUGGCACGUGUCUUCAGUGCCAGCUACUUGGGAGGCGGAGGCAGGAGGAGCCGGGAGUUCUGUGCCGUGGUGCACUGUGCUGAUUCGUGUCAGCAUCAACGCUGGCAUCAGCCCGGGGCGGGGGAACCACCAGGUUGCCUAAGGAGAGAUGAAUGGGCCCAGGUUGGAAGCAGAGUAGAUCACACUCCUGGGCUGAUCAGUGGUGGGAUCGUGACUAUGAAUACUCAUUGUGCUCCAGCCUGGACAACACAGUGAGACCCUAUCUCUU